CUUUGCUUCCCUGACCGUCGCUGAGGAUAAGCAGUUUGGUGUUCUGGAGUCAGGUCAUUCUGCUUAUCUAUCAGGAGGUAAAGAAGCACCGAAGAGCCCUGCUGAGGAUCCUAGUGCGCCACAUCGUCAGGAUCUCAGAGCGAGAGGACACAGCGGAUGCUGAAACACAGAAGAGCAGAUGCUGAUGUGGCUGACUUGUCUGUGCUCACAGAGACAGCACAAAGCAAUUCCAGCAUAUACAGGUAAAUCUGCUGGUUCCAUCCAACAUUAAUCCCGUCGGAGAGAGAAUACUACUCCCCAGACCGAGCAACAAAGAAGAGAAAAGACAUUUUCAGGACUGAGUCAACCUUUCUCCCGAGGAAAGCAAAUGGGGUGAGAAGACAGAAUGGGAACUAACUUCUCUUUCUCACAGAGGUUUCCCUUCGGGUGCAGGCAGUAGCUGCAUUCUCUACACUCUGGAAGAGGAAACAUUAAAACUUUAUCUCCUGAGGAAAAAGAAAAGAGAAAGUUAGGCCAGCUCAGGGGAGACCUGAAAUACAGUCAAUACCAUUGGGAACUGCUUAGAGCAGAUGUCAUCAUUUUGUUGCAGAGGAGCGGAGGUGUGGUAUUUGAAGUUAAUUAUCAUUCCACUCUGGGGUAAAAAUUCAAUUUUAAUAUCAAUAGACCUGCAAGAUUAAAAAAAAAGAAUUCAGGUAUUUGCCACUCGUGGUAUUGAGGUUCAAAGACAAGAGGUAGCUACAUCCAAGAGUGAAAUCAGUCUUUGUGGUAUACAAGGCUUGUCUGUUUGGCUCAGUGUUCCAGGAGAAAAGUAGAAUCUGUGCUUACUGAUAUUUAUUGGAAGAAUGAAUCAUAUAUGAGCUAAAUUAGAAUCACUACUCAUUACGAGGUGUUGUAUUAUGCUAGAGCUUGAGGGAAGGCGGCCUGUGCCCUUCAUCCUAUUCUGUCAUUAAGCAGCUAAAUUAAUCAAAGGAAUUGACCUUUUUCAGGGCAUUGCUUCAUAGGUGAUUGAGAUCAGUCUGUGUCCUGCCCUGAGCUACUCCAUAUCACACAAAACAAUGGUUUUCAGAGCGAUUGCCCCGAAAAAUGACUUUACAUGGAGCUUUUGACUCCUUUUGAGAAAGGAGGGAACUAACUGCUCCUAGGACACCAUCCAGAGAUCUCAGCCCUCAUAAAGCCUCUGUUUAUUGGCUUUUCUUUCAGUUUUCCAGCUUUCCUCUUAGGUCCCUUGCAAUGCCUUGCCUCUGUAACCUACACAUAUAACCAUUCUGUAGUUCCUACCCUCAACAUAGCCAC